rnacentral:rRNA from 1 species
AUUGCACGCUGGCGGCAUGCUUUACACAUGCAAGUCGAACGGUAACAGGGUGCUUGCACCGCUGACGAGUGGCGAACGGGUGAGUAAGGCGUCGGAACGUGCCGAGUAGUGGGGGAUAACGCAGCGAAAGUUGUGCUAAUCGCGCAUACGUACUGAGGUAGAAAGUGGGGGACCUUCGGGCCUAGCGCGAUUCGACCGGCCGACGACUGAUUAGCUAGUAGGUGAGGUAAAGGCUCACCUAGGCGACGAUCAGUAGCGGGUCGGAGAGGAUGAUCCGCCACACUGGGACUGAGACACGGCCCAGACUCCUACGGGAGGCAGCAGUGGGGAAUUUUGGACAAUGGGCGAAAGCCUGAUCCAGACAUGCCGCGUGUCCGAAGAAGGCCUUCGGGUUGUAAAGGACUUUUGUCAGGGAGGAAAUCCCUAGUGCUAAUAACACUGGGGGAUGACAGUACCUGAAGAAUAAGCACCGGCUAACUACGUGCCAGCCGCCGCUGUAA